GAGAACCAACAGCAUAGACACAAAUAUAUAUGAAACCUAGUUGGCAAAAGGGACUGCCCAUCAGCUGGCACCAUAUAUGUCUUCUGUUAUUUGGAAGAUUUGAAUUCUGGUGUCCGAAGGGAGAUUAUUAUGGUGUUUUUCUACCCUGUAAAGUGGUUUCUAACUUCUCGUCUGAAGCCUUUUUGGACAUUGUUCUAUCACUAUUAAGGGGGGUCUUAUGUUACGUUUUUCUUUUUGUUAUAAAGAUAGUGUAAGAAUAAACCUGAGGUUUCUAAAGAUAACUCGCUUUUAUUUAUUUUUGUACCACAAUUAAAAGAAAAGAGUGUCCAUUUAUUCCAGGUUUUAAAUAACAGAAAACAUUUCCAUGCUGUAUUGGAGUAAUGGGAGUUGUAAGUGUUGAGAAAAUAAAUGGUAUUCUCCAGUGUAGCAAACUUUUUCUUCCAAAGGAUUUUAAAGAAAGAAGUUCAUUAAAGCAGGUAAGCAUUCCUUUUACUGCAGUGUGGAAAACAGCAAGUUAAACAGUAAAGUAAAAGCCCUCUCUCUUGUUUUGGAAAUGAAAUGUAAAAGGUCACUCCAGACCCUUAAAACACUUCAGCUUGCUGAAAAGCUUCAUGUGGGAAGAGUGUGUCCUUUUUUUGUUCGUUUUGGAGAAAGUGCAGAUUUUAAUAGAAAUUUAUACUUUUAUGAAUGAUACUGGUUACAUCCCCCUGGCUUUUAAAGCAG